rnacentral:lncRNA from 1 species
AUUUGCAGAGUUCUCAUAUAAUCUGAAAAGAGAAAAUACAAGAAAACACAUGAUACAAAGAGGAGCUUUCAGCAUGACAGCCAAAAAAAGGGGAAUGUAUGCUUUCAGAGAGGAGAGAGGCAGAAACAGAGGAAGGAAAGACUAGUGAAGACUUCGGCAGAAAAUAUUUGGCAUCAUGAAAUCGAACAAAACAACUGGUUCCCAGCAAGAAAGCUUCAACUGGAAAUGCAGAACAUAUGGAAGAGCUGCCCACAUCUUUGUGGUUCUCUUAAGACUUGAAAAGGGGAAUCUGGAUGGGAGUUUCUCGAAGCCUCAGGACCCACUGCUGCAGAGUGCAAGAUGAUCCAUCCUUAGCCUGGGUAAACAUUCUCAUCUGUGCUGGUACACGUUGUCAUUAAGGAUUGCAGCCCAUCCAUUUAAGGUUAAAU